UACGUAGGCAGCGAGCGUUGUUCGGAGUUACUGGGCGUAAAGGGUGUGUAGGCGGUUGUUUAAGUUUGGUGUGAAAUCUCCCGGCUCAACUGGGAGGGUGCGCCGAAUACUGAAUGACUAGAGUGCGGGAGAGGAAAGUGGAAUUCCUGGUGUAGCGGUGAAAUGCGUAGAUAUCAGGAGGAGCACCGGUGGUGUAGACGGCUUUCUGGACCGUAACUGACGCUGAGACACGAAAGCGUGGGUAGCAAACAGG
rnacentral:rRNA from 1 species